rnacentral:rRNA from 1 species
UGCGUAGGGCGCAAGCGUUGUCCGGAAUUAUUGGGCGUAAAGAGCUCGUAGGCGGUCCAUCACGUCGGGAGUGAAAAGCUGGGGCUUAACCCCAGUCCUGCUUCCGAUACGGGUGGACUAGAGGUAGGCAGGGGAGAACGGAAUUCCUGGUGUAGCGGUGAAAUGCGCAGAUAUCAGGAGGAACACCGGUGGCGAAGGCGGUUCUCUGGGCCUUACCUGACGCUGAGGAGCGAAAGCGUGGGGAGCAAACAGG